UACGUAGGGUGCAAGCGUUAAUCGGAAUUACUGGGCGUAAAGCGUGCGCAGGCGGCUUUGCAAGACAGAUGUGAAAGCCCCGGGCUCAACCUGGGAAUUGCAUUUGAGACUGCAUAGCUAGGGUGCGGAAGAGGGAAGCGGAAUUUCCGGUGUAGCGGUGAAAUGCGUAGAUAUCGGAAGGAACACCAGUGGCGAAGGCAGCUCGCUGGGACGGUACUGACGCUAAGGCGCGAAAGCGUGGGGAGCGAACAGG
rnacentral:rRNA from 1 species